GUCUAUGUAAUUUAUAUAAAAUACUGGUCUUGUAAACCAGAAAAAGGACUACACCUCUUAGGCU
rnacentral:tRNA from 1 species